rnacentral:rRNA from 1 species
GACGGAGGAUGCAAGUGUUAUCCGGAAUCACUGGGCGUAAAGCGUCUGUAGGUGGUUUAAUAAGUCAACUGUUAAAUCUUGAGGCUCAACCUCAAAAUCGCAGUCGAAACUAUUAGGCUAGAGUAUAGUAGGGGUAAAGGGAAUUCCAGUGGAGCGGUGAAAUGCGUAGAGAUUGGAAAGAACACCGAUGGCGAAGGCACUCUGCUGGGCCGACACUGACACUGAGAGACGAAAGCUAGGGGAGCGAAUGGG